AGAGUUUGAUCCUGGCUCAGGACGAACGCUGGCGGCGUGCCUAACACAUGCAAGUCGAGCGGUCCGGCAGCCAACUUAAGUUGGGAGCCGGAUAGCGGCGGACGGGUGAGUAACGCGUGGGCAACCUACCCUUAAGACCGGGAUAACACCUCGAAAGGGGUGCUAAUACUGGAUAAGCUCCUUGUAGGGCAUCCUAUGAGGAGGGAAGGUAGCGGGAGCUACCGCUUAAGGAUGGGCCCGCGUCCCAUCAGCUAGUUGGUAGGGUAACGGCCUACCAAGGCGACGACGGGUAGCCGGCCUGAGAGGGUGGUCGGCCACACUGGGACUGAGACACGGCCCAGACUCCUACGGGAGGCAGCAGUGGGGAAUCUUGCGCAAUGGGCGAAAGCCUGACGCAGCGACGCCGCGUGAGCGAGGAAGGCCUUCGGGUCGUAAAGCUCGAUAGUGUGGGAAGAAGGGAUGACGGUACCACACGAAAGCCCCGG
rnacentral:rRNA from 1 species